AAAUUGUCCAGGUUUCCUUAUCGCUCAUGAAACUCUUUUAUAUCCAUCCUACAGAGAGAUGACUCAUGGCCCAGGUGAAAUUCAGGUCCAAGCUCUGGAGAGUGUGUGGGGACUGGUGAAAAGACAUGGUUUUAUUGUUAUCUGUUUAGUUCCUGCUGCGGAAGAUGAGACUCUCGCUCUCUUUGUCAUUUCCCCACAUGCACAGAAACACACAUAUUUCUACUUUUCUCAUCCUCUCAACAGGCUAUCAUAACUUUGGUUAAAUCAAUAGUCAGUGUUUGUAUAUUAUUAUUGGAUAAAUAUUACUUACAGUGGAACCCAUUUUGUGUAUGAUUAGAUAUUCUUUCUUGUAGAACUUUAUGUUUAUCCAGGAGUUAAUACUUAUCUGAUUAUUUUCAGUUGCUUAAUGUCCUAUACACCUGUUAUUAAUUUAUGCUGA
rnacentral:lncRNA from 1 species